rnacentral:rRNA from 1 species
AGUGAACGCUGGCGGUAGGCCUAACACAUGCAAGUCGAACGGCAGCACAGGAGAGCUUGCUCUCUGGGUGGCGAGUGGCGGACGGGUGAGGAAUACAUCGGAAUCUACUCUGUCGUGGGGGAUAACGUAGGGAAACUUACGCUAAUACCGCAUACGACCUACGGGUGAAAGCAGGGGAUCUUCGGACCUUGCGCGAUUGAAUGAGCGGAUGUCGGAUUAGCUAGUCGGCGGGGUAAAGGCCCACCAAGGCGACGAUCCGUAGCUGGUCUGAGAGGAUGAUCAGCCACACUGGAACUGAGACACGGUCCAGACUCCUACGGGAGGCAGCAGUGGGGAAUAUUGGACAAUGGGCGCAAGCCUGGUCCAGCCAUACCUCGUGGGUGAAGAAGGCCUUCGGGUUGUAAAGCCCUUUUGUUGGGAAAGAAAUCCAGCUGGCUAAUACCCGGUUGGGAUGACGGUACCCAAAGAAUAAGCACCGGCUAACUUCGUGCCAGCCGCCGCGGUAA